rnacentral:rRNA from 1 species
GACGUAGGGCGCGAGCGUUGUCCGGAUUUAUUGGGCGUAAAGAGCUCGUAGGCGGCUUGUUGCGUCGACUGUGAAAACCCGCGGCUUAACUGCGGGCUUGCAGUUGAUACGGGCAGGCUAGAGUUCGGUAGGGGAGACUGGAAUUCCUGGUGUAGCGGUGAAAUGCGCAGAUAUCAGGAGGAACACCGCGGGCGAAGGCGGGUCUCUGGGCCGGUACUGACGCUGAGACGCGAAAGCGUGGGGAGCGAACAGG